AGCAAAAGUUUUCCUCUUGAUUUUUUUCCCCUUUAACUGUUUGUUUUUAACUAUUUUGCAGUAGAGGUCUACAGUGGAUUCAGCAUUAUGAAAGCAGAUGAGAUCUGUGUGAUUGAAGUGCCUAAGUACUUAAGAAGAAGUGUGAGCUCAUCAGAGUGCCAUAUGGAGUCAACAGAAAGCAUUAAAAGGUUUUUCAGGAAGGAGAGCAUCAAAGUUCAUUAAGAACUAAAGGGCAGCUUUGAAGGAAGGCUGGAAGCACGCGCGCUUGGCUGGAGACAACGUGGAUUCCUGCAGUCCUCAUAAAAACAGUGCCCGUGGCUGAGCUAAAGUUUUGAAGUGCAAGGAUGGGAGACUGGUAGUUCACCCUCUCGUUAAAAGUUAUUCUCAUGUGCAAAUCUGGAUUCCUGGAGUCCUUCAGAGACAUCAGGUGCACAGGGGACGCUGAUGGAGAGGUUGUGGCGAUGAGACCUGACAAGAGGUUGAACCCAGCGUGGCAGCCGGCUUCCCAAAGUGGCGAGUCAUCAUACUUCAGACUGCUCAGUGAUGUAACAACUACGUUUGUAAUCAAUGCAAUAGCAAGCGACAGGAAAUUUAGAAGAAUAUGGGAAAAACAUCAAAUACUUCAAUGAGAUAAACUGGUGUUGCACUGGAGUUUUCAGUUGGCUUUGCCUGGGCAGGAAGACCUCAACAGCCUGCAUCUGGAAGCAGCACCGUAGCUCCUGCGCUCUACCGCUGGCUGCAGUGCCCUUGUCACCAGUGUUCCCAGCUCUUUGAUUUAGCUGUUUGAUUGGCAGGCAAAACUUUGAUGACCCGAAAGACUGUCUGGUAUUCAAGACAUAUUUGCUAUCAGUUUGGAAGCACCAUCUUCUUUAUCAUCACUCACUCCCCAGCGCUAAUCAGAGGAUUAAGUUAUUGACUUAGCUAUGUUUUCUCGAUACCAGUGUGUAAGCUGAUGCAGAAGAUGUGUACAAGGAGUGCAAUGCAAGUGAGAGAGGACAAGUUAUAUUGUCAUGUGUGAACCCUGGCUGUGCAAAGGCGCAAACACUUUACAAGCGUACAAGAACGUGACAUUUCUAGAUUCACCUAUGAAAGGUCUUAUUUGCACAUCUGUUUGUGUGUUGCAGAUGCUAUUUAAUUGUAAUCUCUGUUUUAUGAGAUUACACUGUAAAUUAUCCAAUUGUUUGGGAGGGUUUCUAGGUCACCAUUCACAGCGAUUUAAUAUUCUGGGACCAGACCAGAGGGAAUUUGAUGACUUCUGUGCCAUCAGUUUUAGUUUCCUGUUAUCAUUUUUGUAAAUGGCAAAGGAGAGGGAGGAAGGGAUGAAGGAAGCAGGAAGGAUGCACUUGAAAACGGUAAGGUUUUUCCCUGUGUUAUUUCUGUGGAAUUUCCAGGACUUCACUGUGCUAAUGAAUAGGCAUCUCUCCAAUUCCAGCAUAACGAAUUUUUGAAUAGCAUAUACCCCGCUGUUCAUGUGCCUACAUGUCCUUCGGUUAAUCUUUCUUAUCUGCCAUCGGUAAUCCAGAACAUAUAUUAUCUCUUCCACGGGUGCAGAUGCAGCUUAGAUCCAAAAGCACUAUCUGUACCUAGAACUGGAAGCAUGAGGCAAGGGAGGAAGCCAUCAGGAGCAGAUAGAUCGUUAAAUGUAUCCUCACUGAGUGAGCUCAGACCAGUGACUUGAUAACAUCAUCCUGCUGGGUCUGAGGCGAAUCCAAGCAAAACUCCUACUUUUGCAUGUCUGCCACGUGACAAAACCAUCUAAUUUUCAGAUUUUUCUUGUACUGAAAGUGAACAUCAGUCAACAAGAUUUUGGAGGGCUAGCGGGGUGCAGAUAAGGUCAAGCAUGAUGUUAACGUAGCUUUUCCUCCUUCCUGUUGUGUCAUAUGUUAGCUGUUAUUACGUCAUGGGCCAAAGUACCUGAAACAAGUUGUGUUCUCCCUGCCAUACUACAGCAGUAACAGACAAGAAAAGGUAAGAUAGUAUGGAAAAUGAAGAUUUAAAAAUUUCUCUUCCCUUUCCUGGGCACUGGCCAGUAUGUUAUUCCCAUGUCUAGAGCAGGUAUGCAUGUGCGUAUCAGCAAUUAAGAAUUUCAGAAACAGGGACAACCAAAUGAGUAUCCAUUUAAUGUCCUGACAUUUUGGUAAUGUGCUUUUUAGCAAGAGUUAUCAGAUUUGCAAAGCAGUUGUAGUGUUUCAUUUGGCUAAAAUUCUCCACCUCUGGCCUCUGUCUGUCUGUUUGGGACAUUUGUCCAAUAUGUUAGACUAAUUCAGCGUGCAUGGUGAGUGCCUCACUAUGCCCGCCUUGGUAGGCUUCAUUUUUGUAAGCACUGGCCAUCUAUCUCAUAGGUCUGGUGCGUCCUGCUGCACUAGAUUUGCUAUGAAUGCAAGCUGUGGGCAUGGUCUCCCACAUCGCUUGCUGCAGUUCCAGCUGGCUCAGUCCCAUUUCCCUCUGUUGAUCUGGACAGGGGAUACGUUUGCCUUUGAACCGUACUUAACUGGUUUGCGACCCCAUGGUUUGCAAGCUAUAGGUUGACCACCUCUGGCAUAAUUUAUGACGUGACAUGCACCUUAUUAUUCUCAUCUCCUCUGUGUGAUAUGGAUCCCUGACUUGCUGGGAAUGUAAAUUAAAUACAAUCAGUAUUAUUACAUCUGCCUUUCAUUUCACAGGCUUGAUCCUUGAUGUGUGGGUGUACGUGUACCAUGGGUACUAUUUUUUUUACCUUGUGUCCAUAGUCCUUUCUAGUAAUUCCACAAGAUAUCUGUAAUAGGACUGUCAAUCAAAAGGGAGCCAGAGGAAAAUGCUGUCUCAAAGUACAAGGUGGCCUUGGCAGACUCUCAACAGUGCUAAUCCUCAGACCAAAUGGCAACCGCAAAGCUGCAGAAACAGCUGGCAACAGGGCUCACCAAGAAGUCAGUUGCCAUCACUAAUAAAACGUUAUCUACAGACUGAUAGCUAGGUCCUGAGAAAAAUAGAAGAGCUACAACCUCUCAGACCAAGUGGCACUAAGGUAUGAAGGAUCUUGUUUAAAUUUCAGAUGCAAACUCUCUACCUAACUUAGAAUAUGUGUGUAUGCGUCUGUAAAAUUAUAUUUUUACACUUAAAUAAUCUCAGGUUCUUUUUCACUGAAGUCCACAAAAUCUAUUCCAUAACCUAAGUGCUUUGACAGUGUUUGAUCACAGAGCAGUUGCACAGGAAUUUCACCAACAUGAAUAUGUUCAAAGAAACGUAGAGUCUUGAUGCAUUUUUUCUACUUUUUCAUCCUGUUAUAUUCCUUAAAUGAAAGGCUUUCUGAUUAAAUAAAAUACAUAUAUGCAAUAUAUGUAUAAUUUAUAUUCUUAAAUAGAUAUAUAGCUUCUCUGUGAUAUCCAGAUAGCAAACCUAUAUGUAACAAAAGGCCCCAAAAAGAGACUACAAGAAUCAGUUUUCUUUAAAAAAGCAUACAUAGGAUGCAAUAUUGAUUAUUUCUUCAUGAAAAACAGAAAUUGCUUCUUCCUUUUUUCUUAAGAGUAGGAGCUUCAUGAAUUUGUAUGCAACAUGGAGCUCUUAAUCUUAUUUACUUACUCUGCUAGUGUUUUUCAAGGAUAGAAAUAUGCACUUUUACUGAGAUUUAUGCAAUGCUCAUUGAAGGUGAUGGUUUACUUGGAAUUUAAGGAGAAUAAUAAAUGUUUUAUAAGCAUGAUACCUUUCAAUAUAGCAUGCACUUAUAAUUACAACUUUUAUACCCAAACACAGUGAACUGGCAAUUCACAAGCAAUUAGUAAUAAAAGCUGA